AGCAGCCGCGGUAAUACGAAGGGACCUAGCGUAGUUCGGAAUUACUGGGCUUAAAGAGUUCGUAGGUGGUUGAAAAAGUUGGUGGUGAAAUCCCAGAGCUUAACUCUGGAACUGCCAUCAAAACUUUUCAGCUAGAGUUUGAUAGAGGAAAGCAGAAUUUCUAGUGUAGAGGCGAAAUUCGUAGAUAUUAGAAAGAAUACCAAUUGCGAAGGCAGCUUUCUGGAUCAUUACUGACACUGAGGAACGAAAGCAUGGGUAGCGAAGAGGAUUAGAUACCCUCGUAGUCCAUGCCGUAAACGAUGUGUGUUAGACGUUGGAAAUUUAUUUUCAGUGUCGCAGCGAAAGCGAUAAACACACCGCCUGGGGAGUACGACCGCAAGGUUAAAACUCAAAUGAAUUGACGGGGACCCGCACAAGUAGUGGAGCAUGUGGUUUAAUUCGAAGAUACGCGCAGAUCCUUACCAACACUUGACAUGUUCGUCACGACUUUAAGAGAUUAAAGUUUUCGGUUCGGCCGGACGAAACACAGGUGCUGCAUGGCUGUCGUCAGCUCGUGUCGUGAGAUGUUGGGUUAAGUCCCGCAACGAGCGCAACCCUCACUUUUAGUUGCCAUCAUUUAGUUGGGCACUCUGAAAGAACUGCCAGUGAUAAGCUGGAGGAAGGUGGGGAUGACGUCAAGUCCUCAUGGCCCUUACGUGUUGGGCUACACACGUGCUACAAUGGUAUCUACAACAGGAAGCAAAACAGCGAUGUUAAGCAAAUCCUUAAAAGAUACCUCAGUUCGGAUUGCACUCUGCAACUCGAGUGCAUGAAGCUGGAAUUACUAGUAAUCGUGGAUCAGCGUGCCACGGUGAAUGCGUUCCCGGGUCUUGUACACACCGCCCGUCACACCAUGGGAGUUGGUUCUACCUUAAGGCAAGGUUUUAUACCCUUGACCACGGUAUAGUCAGCGACUGGGGUGAAGUCGUAACAAGGUAGCCG
rnacentral:rRNA from 1 species